GAUGAAUCCUUGACAGAAGCUCGAUCUCUGUUUUGAACUCGAGGGCGCCCUGCAUCGAUCCCUGUUGAGCACGCUUUAUAGCCACUGCUUGCGCAGAUCUUCGAAUGAGAGCCAUUUCGCGCCCUGAAGUUGCGGGACAGCGCCGCUUUCUUUUGCAGGAUCCCACGAAGCUGCAUUCAUUUCGAAAGCAUAAUCGAUAUAUAUAUCUCUAUAUCGACAAAUCUGUGAUGUUUGUCAAAUUACGGAACUGAGAUUACCGAAUGGAUUGCUCUUCUCGAUGGCCCUUUUUGCCUUCCUCUUCUGUCGAAGAGCGUAGAUUCCAGCCAGGAGAAUCAGAAAUACGAGAAACGAACCGCCGAUCGCGGCUCCAAUGAUAAUGCCAACAUGCGACGACUCUUUCGAUCCUAACGAGGUUACCUCCGAAACAACAAUAUGGUUCAUCGAUGAAGAAGAACGGCCCGAAAUAUUCAAUCUGGAACGGUUGGCGAUUGAGAAUGAAUCCCAUGCUCGAAACCGAGGUUCGAUUGAACACAUCCACUGUAGAAGGAAAUAUUUGCAACGGGAACUUGAGGUAAGAAUAACUAUCUAUCGCUGGAUUACUGAGGAGAACCGUGUCGACAGGAAUCCCGUUCGAGCGGAAAGCAGUCAUAACAGCACCGUAAAGGAUAUUGUUGUAGCUCGCAUUCUGCAAAUCGGAGAAGGAAAAGGAAUAGAAAUGGAGAGUUCCGGUGUACGGAUUGGAGCAUCGGCAAUUUGGACUCAAAACUUUCCCUUUACGGCAAGACGUUUCCGUACAGUUAUUCAACGGUAAGAAUGUAUUUGGACGGCUCUCUAUCGUACAGUACUUAUCCUUUCCUCCAUUCGAGUUGCAGACAGGAUUUCCGGCGAGUCUGCAGGGGACAAAAAGCAUGAGAUCAAACUUGAUUUUUCGAUAUGAGAUUAACGAUCGACCGUCAAGUUGCUGCUGUAGCGAUCGCCGAUGUCUAAGGUACCGUUCAAGUCGUUGUUGCUGAGAAUUCUGAUGAAAAUGAACUGUCUCUAAUUGAGGAAGUCUGAAGAUUUCGACCGGGAUUUGCCCUCGAAGCGCCGUGUUCGCCAUCAUUCUGCAGUUGAAUCAGUUAGUGAGCAACUCGAUCCGAAUGCGUCUCAGACAGACGGAGGGAUGGAG